UGGUAAUAAUGCGUUUAAAGGUUACACCCGUUCCCAUACCGAACACGAAGGUUAAGAUUUAAACGGUCGAUGGUACUGCUUGGCGACUGAGUGGGAGAGUAGAUGGUUGCCAGGUA
rnacentral:rRNA from 1 species